CUCCUCAUCAGCUCUCCCUCCCCUCGUCUCUCGCUCUCCAUUCCGUCUGCGUCUCCGCGCCGCCCCUCGGCUCUCUCGGGGGGUGUUUAUCGCAUCGAUAAGUGGGCUCGCCGGCGUCCUGGAGUGGCCGAGGAUGAAUAGUUAUUCCACCUACACCUGGCGGCAAGUCAGUCCAGCUGUUCAUGAAAUAAACCAGCUGCUGCAUCACGUUUCCCUCGCCAACGCGACGGCGAUACUGAUCUUCUCAUCCACCUCUCCUUAUGAAAACGAGUGAAUAUUCCUUUAAACUCUUCGUGAAGUUUGAUACCGACACACUGGGAUGGUAUUGAUGAUGAUGCGUAGCAGCGCUGUGCCCCGGGGGGCCAUGGGGGCCCUUCACACAGUCCACCGCCUUCUCAGCCAACACAAAGGCGCUUUUACGAUGUGAAAUGAUGGCAACCGUUUCGCUAACUUUUAUGAUCAGCCCCGAGCAUCAAACUGGG
ensembl:lncRNA